rnacentral:lncRNA from 1 species
CUUUGUUGCACGUGGUCUCUCAGAACCUCAGGCUGUUGGAAGUUCCAUCAUCUUGUAGCUGCUCCCAGUGGCAAAGAGCAACCAAAGAACUACAUGCCCCAGUGUGUGAUGUUCCCGUCCCUGCGUCCAAGGGUUCUUAUUGUUCAACUACCACUUAUGAGUGAGAACAUGUGGUGUUUGGUUUUCUGCUCCUGUGUUAGUUUGCUGAGAGUGAUGGUUUCCAGCUUCAUCCACGUCCCUGCAAAAGACAUGAAGUCAUUCUUUUUUAUGGCUGCAUAGUAUUCCAUGGUGUAUAUGUGCCACAUUUUGUUUAUCCAGUCUAUCAUUGAUGAGCAUUUGGGUUGGUUCCAUGUCUUUGCUAUAGUGAAUAGUGCUGCAAUAAAGAUGUGUGUGUGCAUGUGUCUUUAUAGUAGAAUGACUUAUAAUCCUUGUUUUUAAGAUAACUAGUUAAUGUAUCUUCUAAGUGUAAGGUGAUGG